GACGAACGCUGGCGGCGUGCUUAACACAUGCAAGUCGAACGGAAAGGCCCUGCUUUUGUGGGGUGCUCGAGUGGCGAACGGGUGAGUAACACGUGAGUAACCUGCCCCUGACUUUGGGAUAACUUCAGGAAACUGGGGCUAAUACCGGAUAGGAGCUCCUGCUGCAUGGUGGGGGUUGGAAAGUUUCGGCGGUUGGGGAGGGACUCGCGGCUUAUCAGCUUGUUGGUGGGGUAGUGGCUUACCAAGGCUUUGACGGGUAGCCGGCCUGAGAGGGUGACCGGCCCCAUUGGGCCUGGGAUACGGCCCAGCCUCCUACGGGAGGCAGCAGUGGGGAAUAUUGCACAAUGGGCGGAAGCCUGAUGCAGCAACGCCGCGUGCGGGAUGACGGCCUUCGGGUUGUAAACCGCUUUCGCCUGUAACGAAGCGUUAGUGACGGUAAUGGGUAAAGAAGCACCGGCUAACUACGUG
rnacentral:rRNA from 1 species